rnacentral:lncRNA from 1 species
AUGAGCCAGGAAGAAGAGGCCCUCGAGAGACCUUCCCACUUGGCUGAUAAUGUGGAAACUAAUUCUACCUUUACCGAUUGGACUGGUCCAACAUCUCCACAUGACACCCUACCUGUUGGCGCAAGGGAAUUUAUUUAGGUAGGCUUUGCCCUGGGACCAAAGAACAAAGGGAAGCUCAGCUCUCACUACCAGUGAAUGAUGAAAUGCCUCGACUUAGAAACCACAACCCUUCUGUCGAGAGGAAAAUCCUUUCAAGCAAGAUAGAAUCUUAG